rnacentral:rRNA from 1 species
CAGCGGGAUUGAAGCUUGCUUCAAUUGCCGGCGACCGGCGCACGGGUGCGUAACGCGUAUGCAACCUACCCAUAACAGGGGGAUAACCUUGCGAAAGUAAGACUAAUACCCAAUGACGUCUCUAGAAGACAUCUGAAGGAGAUUAAAGAUUUAUCGGUGAUGGAUGGGGAUGCGUCUGAUUAGCUUGUUGGCGGGGUAACGGCCCACCAAGGCUACGAUCAGUAGGGGUUCUGAGAGGAAGGUCCCCACAUUGGAACUGAGACACGGUCCAAACUCC